rnacentral:rRNA from 1 species
GUCAGAUUGAACGCUGGCGGCAGGCCUAACACAUGCAAGUCGAGCGGAUGACGGGAGCUUGCUCCUUGAUUCAGCGGCGGACGGGUGAGUAAUGCCUAGGAAUCUGCCUGGUAGUGGGGGACAACGUUUCGAAAGGAACGCUAAUACCGCAUACGUCCUACGGGAGAAAGCAGGGGACCUUCGGGCCUUGCGCUAUCAGAUGAGCCUAGGUCGGAUUAGCUAGUUGGUGGGGUAAUGGCUCACCAAGGCGACGAUCCGUAACUGGUCUGAGAGGAUGAUCAGUCACACUGGAACUGAGACACGGUCCAGACUCCUACGGGAGGCAGCAGUGGGGAAUAUUGGACAAUGGGCGAAAGCCUGAUCCAGCCAUGCCGCGUGUGUGAAGAAGGUCUUCGGAUUGUAAAGCACUUUAAGUUGGGAGGAAGGGCAUUAACCUAAUACGUUAGUGUUUUGACGUUACCGACAGAAUAAGCACCG